rnacentral:lncRNA from 1 species
UAGUCUUAAUAAUUCACAUCAAGAAUACAUAUACACAUAAUUAGACCUUGAUCGUCAGCGGAGCGACUUUGGGCUUAGGUGCUCUCGUAUAGUGUCAUGGCAAACCUACUGAAAAAUGGAUAAGAAAGAGCACCCCGACAUACGAUCCAAUCAUCUCCAAACCAGAAAACCUAAAACAUGAAGUUUAAAGAGAAUGAGUAUAAACCCAGUGAGUGAACAUAGGAUGGGAACAAGCAAACGAUAAGGAAAGUUUAGAAAUCAUGAUGCACAUAUGUUAAAAACAAUGCCAUUUAGUUUAAUUCCUCGUAAAACCCCUCAAUUGGACCUUUGAUUAUUUAACCCCUUAGUGUUGAAAGAUCCAUGAUCCAUAAUGAAAUCGAAAAGUGAAAACCACAGUAAAUAUCUGAGCAAGAUAAUCAAGACAAAGUCCUUUUUUUUUUGUUGCAUUGAAAAUCAAUUUGGAAACAAUUAACAAUUUCAACAUUCAACAUUCAACAUUCCUUGCAAUCACAUAAUAUUUUCUCUAACAUUUCUAUGGUAUGUGUAAACGUGUAUACAACCAUCGGCUCAUCAGCUCAUGUGCACUCCCACACCUCACAUAGCUGGAAUCACCCGUCAUCACCGGCAUGUGCACUCCCACACCUCACACGCGCGGUUACAAUUAUCACACAAUAUUAUCAUUCAAAGCAUAACAUAUAUAUCCUCAGAAUAUAGGAACACAUGGGUUCAUCACAUUACACAUUUUACAACAUAAAACGUUUCAUCAAGGAUUUGUUCCAAGCAUGAUUUAGAGAAAAAAAUCAAAUAAAAUCAUUUAAGUGCUUUAUCCCAAUGCAGGUAUUUCUCAAAAAUAAUUUAAUGCAAGUUUACUCACCUUAACAAUGCCACCUAACAAGACUAGCACCCACAAGAUCUUAAUCCAGGUAGUCCCGAAAUACCAUUAAAACUUAUAAUUGCCAAUAAACAAUAAUAGCUUCAAAUAUAUCAUAAAUUUAAACUUAAUAAUUCUAAUAGGCAUACUCUUGAUAAACUACAUUCUAGCCUAAUUUUUAACCUAGAAUUCUAGUCUAAUUCUCAAACCCAUCAUAUCAACUAUUUCAAUUUAAAUGUUCUUUACCUUGGUGAACUUGGAGGCAUAAAGAUUAACAAAAACCUAAUAUUUCCAAGAAAAAGAAUUUGAAGCAAUUAGGAAAUAAAAUCUGAAAAUAUAACCUAUAAAUUCAUAAAUUCCAAGAGUUGAAAAUAUAUACCUUUUAGCCUUAAAAAUGGAGAUUUAAAGUUGAAAAUUCAUGUGCCGGUGAUGGUAAAGUACAAAUAAAAAAUAAAGGAAAGAAAGAGAGAUUUUUUCCUUCUUUUUCUUAGGGUUUGGUUGUGUUGGAAAAUGGGGUUAGAAGCUGCAGGUUUGGUGCCCAAGAAGUUAGGAGAAGAAAGAAGUAAGAAAAGAAAGGAAAUAAAAAGAAAACAAGGAAAAUCAAUGAAAAAAAAAUUGAUUUUCAUGGAGGUGAAAUGAAAAUGGCGUUGGGUGGGUGAGGAAGAAAAAGAACAAAAUAUCUUUUUGGUGAAG